AGAUGCUGAUGAGAUGAGCAGAGAACACACACAUCUGGACGUCAAUUAAAGGGAGCUGGUGCGGAUUGAAAGGGCCGUGUAAAUGAAUUGAUCUGAAUGAUGUGUGGGAACUGGUUUGUUAACAACUCAUGGACCGCUGAUGGUUUUUUCCAGCCGGUGAGCCUUGAUGUCUGUAAUGGGAGCACUUGUUGGUGUAUAUUUGGGACAGUAGUGCACUCAUCAGUGAAAUGCGUCGCACCUGAACUCAGCACCUGCUGCUCUUCAGCCGAAUAGACACGAGCUUCAGACUCACACCCGAGAUAAUCAGAUGGCUUUUCAUGCUUUGAUUCCUCUCAUCACUGAACACACAGGUCAGACACGCAUGAGCUGAUUCUGUGCAGGAAGCUGGAUGUGCUGUUUUAUGAAUGAAUGGAAUCGGUCAGAGGUUCAUAACUCGCCAAGGAGCUUCUUCUGCUUUGAUGAAUCUGUUUUCUCAGCUAACAAAUACAUGUUCCAAGAAGGUUUUGCUUACAUCCCUGUUUUGUUUCUGAAUGUUCUCUGAAGAAUCAUGCUUUUAAAAAAAACACACAUUUUUACGCAAAUGUUACAUUGUAUCAUUCUAGGCAAAAUCCUUGGAAUGUUACAUUUGAAAGUUCUCAGAACUUUCAAAAUGUCUGUUUUAUUUAUCAUUAUUAUUUUUUAAUUGACAUGGU